rnacentral:rRNA from 1 species
UACGUAGGGGGCAAGCGUUGUCCGGAAUUAUUGGGCGUAAGGCGCGUGUAGGCGGCUCGGUAAGUCUGCUGUGAAAGUCCAAGGCUCAACCUUGGAAAGCCGGUGGAUACUGUCGAGCUCGAGUCCGGAAGAGGCGAGUGGAAUUCCUGGUGUAGCAGUGAAAUGCGUAGAUAUCAGGAGGAAUACCGAUGGCGAAGGCAGGUCUCUGGGCUGACACUGACGCUCAUGCACGAAAGCGUGGGGAGCAAACAGG